AAUUACAAUUAAAGAUUAGCAAAUAUAAUCAAACAUCAAUCAAAUUCAAUUAAAAUUUUAAAAGAAUUAUACAAAAAAUACAAAGAAUUCUUAAAGACUUUUUAAAGAAAUCAUAAAGAAAUAACAUAGAAAUUUAAAAAAAUAUACUAAAAUAGAAAUCUUAAUAAAACAUCAAAAAAAAAUUUAAAUUAAAUCCUAAUCAAAACCUAGUCAAACUUUAGUCAAACCUUAAUCAAAUCCUAAUCAAAUCCUUGUCAAAUCCUAGUCAAAUCCUAAAUAAGUCUUAAUAAAAUCCUAAUUAAAUCCUAAUCAAAUUCUAAUCAAAUCCUAAUCAAAUUCUAAACAAAUUCCAACCAAAUCCUAAUCAAAUGCUAAAUAAAUCUUAAUCAAAUCUUAAAUAAAUCUUAAAUAAGUCCUAAUCUAUAUCAAAUCCUAACUCUAACCAAAUCUUAAAUCAAAUUCAAAACUAUGAUCCUAAUCCUAAUCAAAUCCUAAUCCUAACCAAACCUUAAAUCAAUCCAAAUUCCAAACUCUAAUCUUAAAUCAAAUCCUAAACUGAAUCCUG
rnacentral:lncRNA from 1 species